GAUCCAAAGGAUCCGAUGGAUAAAUAGAUCCUUUGUUUAAAAGGAUCCAAUGGAUCGGAUGGAUCCAAUGGAUAUCUAUUUAUCCAUCGGAUCCUUUGGAUCCA
rnacentral:sRNA from 1 species